CCUACGGGAGGCAGCAGUGAGGAAUAUUGGUCAAUGGCCGGAAGGCUGAACCAGCCAAGCCGCGUGAAGGACGAAGGUGCCAAGCAUUGUAAACUUCUUUUGUCAAGGGACAAAAUCAGGCUCGAGAGCCUGACCGAGGGUACUUGAAGAAAAAGCAUCGGCUAACUCCGUGCCAGCAGCCGCGGUAAUACGGAGGAUGCGAGCGUUAUCCGGAUUUCUUGGGUUUAAAGGGUGCGUAGGCGGACUGUUAAGUCAGCGGUAAAAGCCCGGGGCUCAACCCCGGCGAGCCGUUGAAACUGGCUGUCUUGAGAUGUCGAGAGGUAUGCGGAAUGCGCAGUGUAGCGGUGAAAUGCUUAGAUAUUGCGCAGAACUCCGAUUCCGAAGGCAGCAUACCGGCGGCGAUCUGACGCUGAGGCUCGAAGGUGCGGGUAUCAAACAGGAUUAGAUACCCGGGUAGUC
rnacentral:rRNA from 1 species